rnacentral:rRNA from 1 species
CCGCACAAGCGGUGGAGCAUGUGGUUUAAUUCGAUGAUACGCGAGGAACCUUACCUGGGCUCAAAUGUAUGUUGACGUAUUCUGAAAGGGAUACUUCUCGGACAAUAUACAAGGUGCUGCAUGGUUGUCGUCAGCUCGUGCCGUGAGGUGUCGGGUUAAGUCCCAUAACGAGCGCAACCCCUAUCAUUAGUUGCCAUCAGGUCAAGCUGGGGACUCUAAUGAAACUGCCUACGCAAGUAGUGAGGAAGGUGGGGACGACGUCAAGUCAUCAUGGCCCUUAUGUCCUGGGCUACACACGUGCUACAAUGGCCGGUACAGAGCGCAGCGAGGCCGCGAGGCGGAGCGAAUCGCUUAAAGCCGGUCCCAGUACGGAUUGGAGUCUGCAACCCGACUCCAUGAAGUUGGAAUCGACUAGUAAUCGCGCAUCAGCAUGGCGCGGUGAAUACGUUCCCGGGCCUU